rnacentral:rRNA from 1 species
GAUGAACGCUGGCGGCGUGCCUAACACAUGCAAGUCGAGCGAUUCUCUUCGGAGAAGAGCGGCGGACGGGUGAGUAACGCGUGGGUAACCUGCCCUGUACAUACGGAUAACAUACCGAAAGGUAUGCUAAUACGGGAUAAUAUGCUUUAGUCGCAUGGCUGAAGUAUCAAAGCUCCGGCGGUACAGGAUGGACCCGCGUCUGAUUAGCUAGUUGGUAAGGUAACGGCUUACCAAGGCGACGAUCAGUAGCCGACCUGAGAGGGUGAUCGGCCACAUUGGAACUGAGACACGGUUCAAACUCCUACGGGAGGCAGCAGUGGGGAAUAUUGCACAAUGGGCGAAGGCCUGAUGCAGCAACGCCGCGUGAGCGAUGAAGGCCUUCGGGUCGUAAAGCUCUGUCCUCAAGGAAGAUAAUGACGGUACUUGAGGAGGAAGCCCCGGCUAACUACGUGCCAGCCGCCGCCGUAA